GACGGAGGAUGCAAGUGUUAUCCGGAAUCACUGGGCGUAAAGCGUCUGUAGGUGGUUUAAAAAGUCCACUGUUAAAGAUUGAAGCUUAACUUCAAAAAUGCCGUGGAAACUUUUAAACUUGAGUAUGAUAGGGGUAGAGGGAAUUUCCGGUGGAGCGGUGAAAUGCGUAGAGAUCGGAAAGAACACCAACGGCGAAAGCACUCUGCUGGGCCGACACUGACACUGAGAGACGAAAGCUAGGGGAGCGAAUGGG
rnacentral:rRNA from 1 species